AUUGAACGCUGGCGGCAUGCCUUACACAUGCAAGUCGAACGGUAACAGGUCUUCGGAUGCUGACGAGUAGCGAACGGGUGAGUAAUACAUCGGAACGUGCCUAGUAGUGGGGGAUAACUACUCGAAAGAGUGGCUAAUACCGCAUGAGAUCUACGGAUGAAAGCAGGGGAUCGCAAGACCUUGUGCUACUAGAGCGGCCGAUGGCCGAUUCGGUAGUUGGUGGGAUAAAAGCUUACCAAGCCGACGAUCUGUAGCUGGUCUGAGAGGACGAUCAGCGACACUGGGACUGAGACAGGGCGCAGACUCCUACGGGAGGCAGCAGUGGGGAAUUUUGGACAAUGGGCGCAAGCCUGAUGCAGCAAUGCGGCGUGAAGGAUGAAGGCCUUAGGGUUGUAAACUGCUUUUGUACGGAACGAAAAGCCCUGGGUUAAUACCCUGGGGUGAUGACGGUAAGGUAAGAAUAAGCACCGGCUAACUACGUGCCAGCCGCCGCAGUAACAC
rnacentral:rRNA from 1 species